rnacentral:rRNA from 1 species
CAAUAGCGUAUAUUAAAGUUGUUGCAGUUAAAAAGCUCGUAGUUGGAUUUCUGGAUGGAGCGACCGGUCGGGCAUUAAUUUGUCUGCACUGGAGUCGGUUCCGUCCAUCCUCUUGGAAAGUGCGUCGGGCAUUAAGUUGUUUGGCGUAUGAUCCAAGUCGUUUACUGUGAAAAAAUUAGAGUGUUUAAAGCAGGCCUUCGCCUUGAAUACACUAGCAUGGAAUAAUAAGAUAGGACUUUGGUCUAUUUUGUUGGUUUGCAGACCGAAGUAAUGAUUAAUAGGGAUAGUUGGGGGUAUUUAUAUUCCGAUGUCAGAGGUGAAAUUCUUAGAUUUUCGGAAGAUAAACUUAUGCGAAAGCAUUUACCAAGGAUGUUUUCAUUAA